CAGAGCAGCGUCCACCUCCC
rnacentral:snRNA from 1 species